UACAUGGGGUGCAACCGUUGCUCGGAAUUAUUGGGCGUAAAGCGCACGUAGGCGGUUUUUUAAGUCGGAUGUGAAAUCCCUCGGCUCAACUGAGGAAGUGCAUUCGAAACUGGCAGGCUUGAGUACUAAAGAGGGUCGCGGAAUUCCCGGUGUAGAGGUGAAAUUCGUAGAUAUCGGGAGGAACACCAGUGGCGAAGGCGGCGACCUGGGUAGAUACUGACGCUGAGGCACGAAAGCGUGGGGAGCAAACAGG
rnacentral:rRNA from 1 species